rnacentral:rRNA from 1 species
GACGAACGCUGGCGGCGUGCUUAACACAUGCAAGUCGAACGGUGAAGCGCCUUCCUUUUUGGUGGGUGUGGAUGAGUGGCGAACGGGUGAGUAACACGUGAGUAACCUGCCCCCUUCUUCUGGAUAACCGCAUGAAAGUGUGGCUAAUACGGGAUAUUCUGGGUCUGUCGCAUGAUGGGUCUGGGAAAGAUAUUGUUUCGGUGGGGGAUGGGCUCGCGGCCUAUCAGCUUGUUGGGGGGGUGAUGGCCUACCAAGGCGGUGACGGGUAGCCGGCCUGGGAGGGUGGACGGUCACACUGGGACUGAGACACGGCCCAGACUCCGACGGGAGGCAGCAGUGGGGAAUAGUGCACAAUGGGCGCAAGCCUGAUGCAGCGACGCCGCGUGAGGGAUGGAGGCCUUCGGGUUGUGAACCUCUUUCGCCAGUGAAGCAGGCCUGCCUCGUUUGUGGGUGGGUUGACGGUAGCUGGAUAAGAAGCGCCGGCUAACUACGUG